GUGUGAAGAGGAGCAUCACAGUCUUCGUGGGACCUUUUCACCUUUUGGUUUUGAACUGUCUCCUAACACAAUUUGUUGGCAGAUAUUAGACUUCGCUUCGGGGGACUUGGAUUUCACCAUUCUGACUGAACUGUCUUCUAAAAAAUCUGUCAACAGAUAUGGAACAAGAAAUAAUAGACUUGCGGGAGCAAAUACGGAACCUGCAGGCACAAAACGAACAGCUGACGAGAGAACGUCCCCCGCCUAGUAGUAACCUUUCUAACCAACUGCAGUCUUCUGUGUCUAAUGCCAGUGCUUCAUCUCCAGUGUCUUUUAGCAGGGUACUUUAUGUCCCUCGGGAGAGGAAAUGCCCACGUUUUUACGGGAACAUGGACACUACUUUGAGUAUUGAAGACUGGAUUGAGGAGGCUGAGCUCCACAGGUCAGGCAGGCAGAGUUAGGCUGGAGAGAUGCCCUGUCACAGUGCCACCGAGCAGAUGGGGCCCCUUGUCCUGGAUUCAUUGGUUAUGUGAAGGUGCAGUCUUGCCAUCCUGUCCAGAUUCCAGCUGGCACCAUGAGUGUUUUGGCCGGAUUAUUGCCUGACUGGUUGUUGCCUGAGUGUCCAUCAAAAUAACGGAUGUUAGAGGGAUGCACGGUUACCGUUUACUUUAGAUUUAAUUUUCUUUGGUUUAUUUAUUGUUUUUUUUUGUUGGAUCAUAAUUGUAUAAGGAAAACCUAGGCCAUAAAAGGAUGGUUCUAUGGUGCUGACUGGUUAGUUCUACUUGCAUUACCCACUGUUAAUUAAUUUGUUUUUCUUUCUUUUUGUAGAUUUCUUUUCAAACCAACCAUGGCUUCUGGGUUAUCCUCACUGUGUGGAUGGCGGUGGUGAGGUGGCUGGGAUCGUGUUGUGGUUUGGUCACUUUAUUUGUGUUUCUUUCUUUUUUGUAGGUUUGCAGUGUGAUUGCUGUGAGCGUUGUUGUGGUGAGAGCAUUUUGAAUGCCACUCUGUCUUCACAAUAUAGGUAACCCGUGGCUAUCUGUUGGUUGAUUUCGUUUUUUGUUUCUUUAUUUAUUAUUAUUUCCUUUGUGGGUAUUUGCAUUGACAAUCUGUUACACCUUUUUUUAAUAUGUUGAAUUAUUUGAAUAAAAAUGUGCCUGUUGAGUAAA